CGGUCGGAAAUCGUACGUAGAGUGUAAAGGCAAAAGAGAGCUUGAUUGCAAGACAUACAGGUCGAGCAAGGAUGAAAAUCGGACUUAGUGAUCCGGUGGUUCUGCGUGGAAGGGCCAUCGCUCAACGGAUAAAAGCUACCCUGGGGAUAACAGGCUUAUCUCCCCCAAGAGUCCACAUCGACGGGGAGGUUUGGCACCUCGAUGUCGGCUCAUCACAUCCUGGGGCUGUAGUAGGUCCCAAGGGUUGGGCUGUUCGCCCAUUAAAGUGGUACGCGAGCUGGGUUCAGAACGUCGUG
rnacentral:rRNA from 1 species